UACGUAGGGUGCAAGCGUUAUCCGGAAUUAUUGGGCGUAAAGGGCUCGUAGGCGGUUUGUCGCGUCGGGAGUGAAAACACCGGGCUUAACUCGGUGCUUGCUUUCGAUACGGGCAGACUAGAGGCAUGCAGGGGAGAACGGAAUUCCUGGUGUAGCGGUGAAAGUGACGCAGAUAUCAGGAGGAACACCGGUGGCGAAGGCGGUUCUCUGGGCAUGUCCUGACGCUGAGGAGCGAAAGUGUGGGGAGCGAACAGG
rnacentral:rRNA from 1 species